rnacentral:lncRNA from 1 species
CGGCCGCGCAAAUAGUCCCAGCGGCUUCUCUCUCGGGUCGGGCCGCCCUUGGGGGCCUUUCACUUCACGGCUCAUCUUUGGUGCUGUCUUCAGAGUUGCCGGACGCAGGUGACAAGACAAUCAUUUCCAUCAUGUCCUUGCCCCUUUUUGUCAGCCCCAGAGACAACGUCUCCUCGCUUGUUCGGGAAGAUUCUAGCGGAAGCAGGCAGUAUUCCUUUCCCUAAGCAUGAAAUGGGGUUUCCCAAACAGGCAUGUGUAUUGGACGCCUCUGGCGGAGAGCAGGCUGGCGCCGAGGCCCGGCCUUGAGAGCGGCGCGCACUAUAAAGCGGCGCGUGCUGCAACCCGCGUCCGCUUUGUAGAGAGAAAUGCUGGGGUGCAGCUUCAAGCUUAGGACUACCCACCAUGGCCAUCCAGGUGCUGAAGGGCCUGACCGUCACUUGCGUCCCUCCAGGCUUUCUGCUGUUUUCUGCCUAGGGGUGGCUACAGCCAUGGCUAGGAAAGUGCUGCACCCACCCUCCUGGGCCGGAGCUGGUUCUGCUCCUGCUACAGGGAUACUGAGCUCCUGGCUGUCUCAGCGCUUCGGGCAAGAACCUCAACAAGCUCUCCUGGGCCCUGCAGUUGUACUGCCGGGCCCCUGCCUUGUGCUUCAUCUCAAGAACUGCUGCUGCUGGUGGACCUGAUCCGACCUGACAACGUGCCAUUUUCAGCUACCACUGCAAGGCCCUGAGGGCAACAGCAGCGCGGCACUGCCCACCUGGCUGCUGGUGGCCUGGUGCCAGCUGGGAGUCCUCCCAGCACUUCGAGGCCACUGAGCCGCCCUUCCAGCCCUGGCCCACCGUGGAGAGGGGUAUCCAGCUUCCUCUUCAACCUCAUCGUCUGCCCCCGAGCCAGUGACUCCCAAGGACAUGCCUGUUAGGUUACCCAGCGCCUGUACCAGCGCCAGCUGGUCAAGGGCAUGACGUUGUUCUAGGUCAUCCUGGACAUCCAGGCCAUUGCCGACAGCAGGCUGCUUUCCAUGAGCCAGAGGCUGCCAGGCUCACGCUAGGACCCAACCCAGUGCACAAGGACCUGGCUGCUGAGCCGCACACCCAGGAGAAGGUAGAUAGGUGGGCUACCAAGGGCUUCCUGCAGGCUAGGGGAGGAGUCAGCCUGCUCCCCUGUUCUGACCAGGCCUGUGGGGAGGAGCUGCCCAUAUGCCGCCAUGAGACCUGGGCCUGGCUCCGGAGGACAGAUACCGCCUGGCCUGGUGCUCCAGGGGUGAAGCAGGCCAGAAUCCUGGGGGAGCUGCUCCUGGUUUGAGCUGCAAUCAGGAAGUGCGGGACAGGGUAGGGGAGGCAAAAAGCCUUGGGCAGUACCCUCCCCGUGGAGCCAUUCAGCAUCCCUCGAGCUGGCCACACCCUGACACUAUGUUCAAGGGCUCCGGAAGAGAGGGGUGUCUGUCCCCAACCUCUCCCCAGUGGGUGUCACUGGCCAGACGUUAUGAGGCGAGCAGGCUGCGUGAGUGGACACUUACCAUGAGUCCCUGGGGGGAGUGAUUCCCGCAGGCAUUGUGUGCCAUAUUACAUUUCUGCCCAGGCAGCAGGGUAGUGGGUACCAUGGGUGCCCACCCCUCCACCACAUGGAGCCCCAAAGCACUGCAGGCCAAGCAGGGAGACCCCACACCCAUGACAUAAAAGCAUC